AAUUCCUUUCUCCGUCAUAGAAUAGUCGAAAAACAAGAAGGGGUUCCGAAAGUGUUUGUUGCUGUGACUGACUCGCCUAGAGAAAAUAUGCACGUACCACAUAAGUAUACGUCAAUAUCUGUAAUAAUGGUAGAUCAAAUGUUUCAUCUGUGUGAAACUUUUUGCUAAUCGAAAUGUUAAACCAACCACCAAUCCAUGUACAUAGAUGCGCUACGUAAACAAAGUUGUUGGUUGAUACAACGUAAUGUCCGAGUGCAGCAUGCUGCGAGAUUAAAUACUGUUUAUACAGUCAUUGAGAGGCUAAACAAAGUUUCUUGCAAGAAGAGGAAGUUGGUGGAUGCAUUCAACUUGGACAAUGAACUCAUAGUUUCGUUUGGCAUCAGUCCGAGGACCAAGGGAGGUUAGAUAGGACCAGUGCAGGUUGAUGUGGAUUUCAAGUCAACAAGUAUAACAGCAAGAGAGGUACUCCAUUUACAGUGAUGAUGACAUAUCUCCUGGACCCCCACAACUCCACAAAUUUAAAAAUGUUUGAUCAAGUUCCGAAGAUUAAAGAACUACUGCAAAAUUUGGGACUUGGAUGAAAAACGUCAAUUCACUUAUAUGAGCUCAGAGCAGUGGAUGUUGUACAACAUACUUUAAACUAAAUUGUGAAUUUGAGGGAAAACAAGUACAUGUACUCGUGUAUUACAUGUACAUGCCUUUUGAAAGACAAUAAUAUUGCAUAGAUGUAAAGGAAAUUUCCAAUGUUGAUUAUUCUUUCUUAGAUAUAUUAGUAAAAAAUGUGCACAUGAUAGAAUAUCAAUUUUAUAACUUCAAUCAAUGUGUUUGAAUUUUCCUUGUAAUUCAAAAUUUAGUUGAAACAUACAUCAUUGAUACAUUAAUGUAUAUCAAAUUUUAUAAAAGUUUCAUAAUGGAACUAAUUCACCCCCCCCCCCCCCACCCCCCCCCCCCUUAUACAUACAGUGAACAUAGACCUUCACCUGGGGAAAACUACAGUUAGUUAAUGCAAUAUACAUGUACAUGCAUUCUCAGUUAUCCAAUAGUGAGUUUUUGGUUCAUUGUGAAACUACAAUUAAAAAUCUUAAACUUAUGAAAGACACACUUAUAUGUGAGGGCAAGAUGACUCAGAUGGACUUACAUGUAGUGAUCCAUGGGCAGUCCAUGGGUCUCUUUCCAUUGAUAUUAAUUAUUUAUUGAAAUAUGUAAUGGUUAUUUAAACAUAUUUGGUGUAUUAUACUGUAUAGUGAUAUAAAUUUCUAUAAAAAAAAUAUGUAUAGGUAAUAGAUUUGUUCCAGUUAUUACAAGAAAUUGUAUGAAAAAUAACUAAGUAUUUAGGCAAUCAUUGUGAGUGCAAAAAGGUCAACUGCAAUAGCACACACUAUAUAUCAUUCUUAAAUGGCUCAUAGAAACUUCUAGUAUUGUGAGUUUGAAUGCUCAAUGUGGUAAUUUGGGAAUGCUUAAUCAUUUAAGGUCAAUAGUUUAUCUCUGCUGACUGUAUCUCUUAAAAUUCAUUUCUAGAAGGGAGGGUGGUAGGGUUACAAAAUCUGACAUAGUUUUAGAUUAAACCUCAUUUGGUAUAUUUUUUUCUAUUCAAUAUUUUAGAUACUACUUGACUUAUUGUAAAAAUGAAAUAAAAUCAGAAAUUUUAUGA